UCGGCCAUAUCAUGCUGAAUAUACCGGUUCUCGUUAGAUCACCGAAGCCAAGCAUCAUUGGGCGCGGUCAGUACUUGGGGGUGAGUGACCACCUGGGAACACCGAGUGCCGUU